GACGAACGCUGGCGGCGCGCUUAACACAUGCAAGUCGAACGGAAAGGCCCUGCUUUUGUGGGGUGCUCGAGUGGCGAACGGGUGAGUAACACGUGAGUAACCUGCCCUUGACUUUGGGAUAACUUCAGGAAACUGGGGCUAAUACCGGAUAGGAGCUCCUGCUGCAUGGUGGGGGUUGGAAAGUUUCGGCGGUUGGGGAUGGACUCGCGGCUUAUCAGCUUGUUGGUGGGGUAGUGGCUUACCAAGGCUUUGACGGGUAGCCGGCCUGAGAGGGUGACCGGCCACAUUGGGACUGAGAUACGGCCCAGACUCCUACGGGAGGCAGCAGUGGGGAAUAUUGCACAAUGGGCGGAAGCCUGAUGCAGCAACGCCGCGUGCGGGAUGACGGCCUUCGGGUUGUAAACCGCUUUCGCCUGUGACGAAGCGUGAGUGACGGUAAUGGGUAAAGAAGCACCGGCUAACUACGUGCCAGCAGCCGCGGUGAUACGUAGGGUGCGAGCGUUGUCCGGAUUUAUUGGGCGUAAAGGGCUCGUAGGUGGUUGAUCGCGUCGGAAGUGUAAUCUUGGGGCUUAACCCUGAGCGUGCUUUCGAUACGGGUUGACUUGAGGAAGGUAGGGGAGAAUGGAAUUCCUGGUGGAGCGGUGGAAUGCGCAGAUAUCAGGAGGAACACCAGUGGCGAAGGCGGUUCUCUGGGCCUUUCCUGACGCUGAGGAGCGAAAGCGUGGGGAGCGAACAGGCUUAGAUACCCUGGUAGUCCACGCUGUAAACGGUGGGUACUAGGUGUGGGGUCCAUUCCACGGGUUCCGUGCCGUAGCUAACGCUUUAAGUACCCCGCCUGGGGAGUACGGCCGCAAGGCUAAAACUCAAAGGAAUUGACGGGGCCCCGCACAAGCGGCGGAGCAUGCGGAUUAAUUCGAUGCAACGCGUAGAACCUUACCUGGGUUUGACAUGGAUCGGGAGUGCUCAGAGAUGGGUGUGCCUCUUUUGGGGUCGGUUCACAGGUGGUGCAUGGCUGUCGUCAGCUCGUGUCGUGAGAUGUUGGGUUAAGUCCCGCAACGAGCGCAACCCUUGUUCACUGUUGCCAGCACGUUAUGGUGGGGACUCAGUGGAGACCGCCGGGGUCAACUCGGAGGAAGGUGGGGACGACGUCAAGUCAUCAUGCCCCUUAUGUCCAGGGCUUCACGCAUGCUACAAUGGCUGGUACAGAGAGUGGCGAGCCUGUGAGGGUGAGCGAAUCUCGGAAAGCCGGUCUCAGUUCGGAUUGGGGUCUGCAACUCGACCUCAUGAAGUCGGAGUCGCUAGUAAUCGCAGAUCAGCAACGCUGCGGUGAAUACGUUCCCGGGGCU
rnacentral:rRNA from 1 species